GACAGAGGGUGCAAACGUUGCUCGGAAUCACUGGGCGUAAAGGGCGUGUAGGCGGGAAGGAAAGUCAGAUGUGAAAUCCCCAGGCUCAACCUGGGAACUGCAUUUGAAACUCCCUUUCUUGAGUACCGGAGAGGAAAGUGGAAUUCCUGGUGUAGAGGUGAAAUUCGUAGAUAUCAGGAGGAACACCAGUGGCGAAGGCGGCUUUCUGGACGGUACUGACGCUGAGACGCGAAAGCGUGGGGGAGCGAACAGG
rnacentral:rRNA from 1 species